ensembl:rRNA pre-rRNA:CR45845 ribosomal RNA primary transcript:CR45845
AGGUAGGCAGUGGUUGCCGACCUCGCAUUGUUCGAAAUAUAUAUUUCGUAUAAUGAUUAUAUUGGUUACUUAUAAUAAAGUAUAUUAUUAUCCGUACAAAUUUGUUUCUCAGUUCUUUUUGAACACGGGACUUGGCUCCGCGGAUAAUAGGAAUAUACGCUAUUUUAGAUAAUAUCGUUGAAACAAAAGUCAAGUUUCUAUUAUACAUAGAAUAACAAAUCGUUUCCAUAUAUUAUCGUUAAUUUUUGGUGGCAGGCAAAUAUUAGUUUAUUACCUGCCUGUAAAGUUGGAUUAUUAUAUCGUUACGGUAUAAUACAAAAUGGAUUCAUAUUAUUAUAUGAAAGAAAUAUAAAAUUUAUAUAUAAAUUUGGAAGAAUUAUCAUGUGCGCUCGGUUUUAUGUUAUAUAUUACCAGAGAGUUAUAUGAAAAGAGAUAAAUUUUAAAUUUAUCAUCAAGAUGCAAAUGAUUUAACUUAUAUUUGGUUAAACAAAAAUUGUACAAGUGUGGAUACAAAAUUUAUGUAUGUUGGAAAUAAAAUGAUAUUUUAGAAUGAAAUAUAUGUAUAUAUAAAGACAAAAUUAUAGAAAAUAUAUUACAAUAAUUGUAUGAUCUUCUUGUUAUAUUGGUAAAACAAGUAGAAUUUAAAAAUGGAAAUACGAAUUACGAGUGCUAUAUAAAAAUGGCCGUAUUCGAAUGGAUUUAUUUUUAUAAAUAUAUUUAAAAUUUUUACCCAAAGGCAAAAUAUUGAAUUACAUUCAAUAAUAUAAAAAAAUGGAAUUAUAUAUAAAGUGGAAAAUCUAUAAUAUUUAUAUUGCUUAUUUCAAUUCAAAAAAUAUGAAUGAAAUAUGAAAAGAAAACAUUAUUCUGGUUGAUCCUGCCAGUAGUUAUAUGCUUGUCUCAAAGAUUAAGCCAUGCAUGUCUAAGUACACACGAAUUAAAAGUGAAACCGCAAAAGGCUCAUUAUAUCAGUUAUGGUUCCUUAGAUCGUUAACAGUUACUUGGAUAACUGUGGUAAUUCUAGAGCUAAUACAUGCAAUUAAAACAUGAACCUUAUGGGACAUGUGCUUUUAUUAGGCUAAAACCAAGCGAUCGCAAGAUCGUUAUAUUGGUUGAACUCUAGAUAACAUGCAGAUCGUAUGGUCUUGUACCGACGACAGAUCUUUCAAAUGUCUGCCCUAUCAACUUUUGAUGGUAGUAUCUAGGACUACCAUGGUUGCAACGGGUAACGGGGAAUCAGGGUUCGAUUCCGGAGAGGGAGCCUGAGAAACGGCUACCACAUCUAAGGAAGGCAGCAGGCGCGUAAAUUACCCACUCCCAGCUCGGGGAGGUAGUGACGAAAAAUAACAAUACAGGACUCAUAUCCGAGGCCCUGUAAUUGGAAUGAGUACACUUUAAAUCCUUUAACAAGGACCAAUUGGAGGGCAAGUCUGGUGCCAGCAGCCGCGGUAAUUCCAGCUCCAAUAGCGUAUAUUAAAGUUGUUGCGGUUAAAACGUUCGUAGUUGAACUUGUGCUUCAUACGGGUAGUACAACUUACAAUUGUGGUUAGUACUAUACCUUUAUGUAUGUAAGCGUAUUACCGGUGGAGUUCUUAUAUGUGAUUAAAUACUUGUAUCUUUUCAUAUGUUCCUCCUAUUUAAAAACCUGCAUUAGUGCUCUUAAACGAGUGUUAUUGUGGGCCGGUACUAUUACUUUGAACAAAUUAGAGUGCUUAAAGCAGGCUUCAAAUGCCUGAAUAUUCUGUGCAUGGGAUAAUGAAAUAAGACCUCUGUUCUGCUUUCAUUGGUUUUCAGAUCAAGAGGUAAUGAUUAAUAGAAGCAGUUUGGGGGCAUUAGUAUUACGACGCGAGAGGUGAAAUUCUUGGACCGUCGUAAGACUAACUUAAGCGAAAGCAUUUGCCAAAGAUGUUUUCAUUAAUCAAGAACGAAAGUUAGAGGUUCGAAGGCGAUCAGAUACCGCCCUAGUUCUAACCAUAAACGAUGCCAGCUAGCAAUUGGGUGUAGCUACUUUUAUGGCUCUCUCAGUCGCUUCCCGGGAAACCAAAGCUUUUGGGCUCCGGGGGAAGUAUGGUUGCAAAGCUGAAACUUAAAGGAAUUGACGGAAGGGCACCACCAGGAGUGGAGCCUGCGGCUUAAUUUGACUCAACACGGGAAAACUUACCAGGUCCGAACAUAAGUGUGUAAGACAGAUUGAUAGCUCUUUCUCGAAUCUAUGGGUGGUGGUGCAUGGCCGUUCUUAGUUCGUGGAGUGAUUUGUCUGGUUAAUUCCGAUAACGAACGAGACUCAAAUAUAUUAAAUAGAUAUCUUCAGGAUUAUGGUGCUGAAGCUUAUGUAGCCUUCAUUCAUGUUGGCAGUAAAAUGCUUAUUGUGUUUGAAUGUGUUUAUGUAAGUGGAGCCGUACCUGUUGGUUUGUCCCAUUAUAAGGACACUAGCUUCUUAAAUGGACAAAUUGCGUCUAGCAAUAAUGAGAUUGAGCAAUAACAGGUCUGUGAUGCCCUUAGAUGUCCUGGGCUGCACGCGCGCUACAAUGAAAGUAUCAACGUGUAUUUCCUAGACCGAGAGGUCCGGGUAAACCGCUGAACCACUUUCAUGCUUGGGAUUGUGAACUGAAACUGUUCACAUGAACUUGGAAUUCCCAGUAAGUGUGAGUCAUUAACUCGCAUUGAUUACGUCCCUGCCCUUUGUACACACCGCCCGUCGCUACUACCGAUUGAAUUAUUUAGUGAGGUCUCCGGACGUGAUCACUGUGACGCCUUGCGUGUUACGGUUGUUUCGCAAAAGUUGACCGAACUUGAUUAUUUAGAGGAAGUAAAAGUCGUAACAAGGUUUCCGUAGGUGAACCUGCGGAAGGAUCAUUAUUGUAUAAUAUCCUUACCGUUAAUAAAUAUUUGUAAUUAUACAAAUAAAAACAAUUUACCAAAAUAAAAAUAUAACAAAAUGAUUCCAUGGAAUCAAAAGUUAAAAUCAAAAUAAAACGAAGAUGGGUUUUAUUUAUAUAGUUAGUGUGGGGCUUGGCAACCUCAUAAAAAGAUUUUAACAUUUCUAAUGUAUGUUGUGCGUAUUUGUGGCGAGUACUUACAACAACGGCGUUUCCUAUAAAAAUAAUGUUUCGAACAUGAAAAUCGAAGAAACAAAAUUCGAAAGUGGAAGUCGAAUCAAAAUAAAAUAAUUUCGAAUGUGUGGUAAUCAUCGAAAUAAGUGUUAAUAUAAUUGGUAGAUAUUAACUAAUUUUUAAAAUUUGUGUGUAUUUAUUACUAUACACGCGUUGCGAAUAUGUAUUGUUCAUCUUAGUUAUGGGCAUACGUUGGCUAAUGCAACAACCUGAAAUAAACAAUGUUGUACCUGGCAUCCAUCAGGUUAAUGUUUUAUAUAAAUUGCAGUAUGUGUCACCCAAAAUAGCAAACCCCAUAACCAACCAGAUUAUUAUGAUACAUAAUGCUUAUAUGAAACUAAGACAUUUCGCAACAUUUAUUUUAGGUAUAUAAAUACAUUUAUUGAAGGAAUUGAUAUAUGCCAGUAAAAUGGUGUAUUUUUAAUUUCUUUCAAUAAAAACAUAAUUGACAUUAUAUAAAAAUGAAUUAUAAAACUCUAAGCGGUGGAUCACUCGGCUCAUGGGUCGAUGAAGAACGCAGCAAACUGUGCGUCAUCGUGUGAACUGCAGGACACAUGAACAUCGACAUUUUGAACGCAUAUCGCAGUCCAUGCUGUUAUGUACUUUAAUUAAUUUUAUAGUGCUGCUUGGACUACAUAUGGUUGAGGGUUGUAAGACUAUGCUAAUUAAGUUGCUUAUAAAUUUUUAUAAGCAUAUGGUAUAUUAUUGGAUAAAUAUAAUAAUUUUUAUUCAUAAUAUUAAAAAAUAAAUGAAAAACAUUAUCUCACAUUUGAAUGUGAAAAACGAAGAGAAAUAUUUUCUUUUUCAAUCAAAUAAUACUGAGAAAUGUCUAGCAUAAAAAAUUGAAAUAUUUUUCAUCUAGAAUUGUCUCUUAUUAAUGAUUCGGAAAUAGAAAAAUCUUGGUUAUGUUAUUAUUCUUCGUUGGUUCGUUAAAAAUGGAUAAAUAAAAACUUUGCAUACAAGAAUUAAUAAAAAUGUUAUAACGAAUUUAAUUAAAUGUUUUAUCAUUAUAUAUAAAGAAUUUAUGGCAAGAUAAAGUUAUAUACAACCUCAACUCAUAUGGGACUACCCCCUGAAUUUAAGCAUAUUAAUUAGGGGAGGAAAAGAAACUAACAAGGAUUUUCUUAGUAGCGGCGAGCGAAAAGAAAACAGUUCAGCACUAAGUCACUUUGUCUAUAUGGCAAAUGUGAGAUGCAGUGUAUGGAGCGUCAAUAUUCUAGUAUGAGAAAUUAACGAUUUAAGUCCUUCUUAAAUGAGGCCAUUUACCCAUAGAGGGUGCCAGGCCCGUAUAACGUUAAUGAUUACUAGAUGAUGUUUCCAAAGAGUCGUGUUGCUUGAUAGUGCAGCACUAAGUGGGUGGUAAACUCCAUCUAAAACUAAAUAUAACCAUGAGACCGAUAGUAAACAAGUACCGUGAGGGAAAGUUGAAAAGAACUCUGAAUAGAGAGUUAAACAGUACGUGAAACUGCUUAGAGGUUAAGCCCGAUGAACCUGAAUAUCCGUUAUGGAAAAUUCAUCAUUAAAAUUGUAAUAUUUAAAUAAUAUUAUGAGAAUAGUGUGCAUUUUUUCCAUAUAAGGACAUUGUAAUCUAUUAGCAUAUACCAAAUUUAUCAUAAAAUAUAACUUAUAGUUUAUUCCAAUUAAAUUGCUUGCAUUUUAACACAGAAUAAAUGUUAUUAAUUUGAUAAAGUGCUGAUAGAUUUAUAUGAUUACAGUGCGUUAAUUUUUCGGAAUUAUAUAAUGGCAUAAUUAUCAUUGAUUUUUGUGUUUAUUAUAUGCACUUGUAUGAUUAACAAUGCGAAAGAUUCAGGAUACCUUCGGGACCCGUCUUGAAACACGGACCAAGGAGUCUAACAUAUGUGCAAGUUAUUGGGAUAUAAACCUAAUAGCGUAAUUAACUUGACUAAUAAUGGGAUUAGUUUUUUAGCUAUUUAUAGCUGCUAAUUAACACAAUCCCGGGGCGUUCUAUAUAGUUAUGUAUAAUGUAUAUUUAUAUUAUUUAUGCCUCUAACUGGAACGUACCUUGAGCAUAUAUGCUGUGACCCGAAAGAUGGUGAACUAUACUUGAUCAGGUUGAAGUCAGGGGAAACCCUGAUGGAAGACCGAAACAGUUCUGACGUGCAAAUCGAUUGUCAGAAUUGAGUAUAGGGGCGAAAGACCAAUCGAACCAUCUAGUAGCUGGUUCCUUCCGAAGUUUCCCUCAGGAUAGCUGGUGCAUUUUAAUAUUAUAUAAAAUAAUCUUAUCUGGUAAAGCGAAUGAUUAGAGGCCUUAGGGUCGAAACGAUCUUAACCUAUUCUCAAACUUUAAAUGGGUAAGAACCUUAACUUUCUUGAUAUGAAGUUCAAGGUUAUGAUAUAAUGUGCCCAGUGGGCCACUUUUGGUAAGCAGAACUGGCGCUGUGGGAUGAACCAAACGUAAUGUUACGGUGCCCAAAUUAACAACUCAUGCAGAUACCAUGAAAGGCGUUGGUUGCUUAAAACAGCAGGACGGUGAUCAUGGAAGUCGAAAUCCGCUAAGGAGUGUGUAACAACUCACCUGCCGAAGCAACUAGCCCUUAAAAUGGAUGGCGCUUAAGUUGUAUACCUAUACAUUACCGCUAAAGUAGAUGAUUUAUAUUACUUGUGAUAUAAAUUUUGAAACUUUAGUGAGUAGGAAGGUACAAUGGUAUGCGUAGAAGUGUUUGGCGUAAGCCUGCAUGGAGCUGCCAUUGGUACAGAUCUUGGUGGUAGUAGCAAAUAAUCGAAUGAGACCUUGGAGGACUGAAGUGGAGAAGGGUUUCGUGUGAACAGUGGUUGAUCACGAGUUAGUCGGUCCUAAGUUCAAGGCGAAAGCCGAAAAUUUUCAAGUAAAACAAAAAUGCCUAACUAUAUAAACAAAGCGAAUUAUAAUACACUUGAAUAAUUUUGAACGAAAGGGAAUACGGUUCCAAUUCCGUAACCUGUUGAGUAUCCGUUUGUUAUUAAAUAUGGGCCUCGUGCUCAUCCUGGCAACAGGAACGACCAUAAAGAAGCCGUCGAGAGAUAUCGGAAGAGUUUUCUUUUCUGUUUUAUAGCCGUACUACCAUGGAAGUCUUUCGCAGAGAGAUAUGGUAGAUGGGCUAGAAGAGCAUGACAUAUACUGUUGUGUCGAUAUUUUCUCCUCGGACCUUGAAAAUUUAUGGUGGGGACACGCAAACUUCUCAACAGGCCGUACCAAUAUCCGCAGCUGGUCUCCAAGGUGAAGAGUCUCUAGUCGAUAGAAUAAUGUAGGUAAGGGAAGUCGGCAAAUUAGAUCCGUAACUUCGGGAUAAGGAUUGGCUCUGAAGAUUGAGAUAGUCGGGCUUGAUUGGGAAACAAUAACAUGGUUUAUGUGCUCGUUCUGGGUAAAUAGAGUUUCUAGCAUUUAUGUUAGUUACUUGUUCCCCGGAUAGUUUAGUUACGUAGCCAAUUGUGGAACUUUCUUGCUAAAAUUUUUAAGAAUACUAUUUGGGUUAAACCAAUUAGUUCUUAUUAAUUAUAACGAUUAUCAAUUAACAAUCAAUUCAGAACUGGCACGGACUUGGGGAAUCCGACUGUCUAAUUAAAACAAAGCAUUGUGAUGGCCCUAGCGGGUGUUGACACAAUGUGAUUUCUGCCCAGUGCUCUGAAUGUCAAAGUGAAGAAAUUCAAGUAAGCGCGGGUCAACGGCGGGAGUAACUAUGACUCUCUUAAGGUAGCCAAAUGCCUCGUCAUCUAAUUAGUGACGCGCAUGAAUGGAUUAACGAGAUUCCUACU